AACGAACGCUGGCGGCAGGCUUAACACAUGCAAGUCGAACGGGUGUAGCAAUACAUCAGUGGCAGACGGGUGAGUAACACGUGGGAACCUUCCUAGGGGUACGGAACAACUCAGGGAAACUUGAGCUAAUACCGUAUACGUCCGUAAGGAGAAAGAUUCAUCGCCCCUAGACGGGCCCGCGUCGGAUUAGGUAGUUGGUGGGGUAACGGCCUACCAAGCCUACGAUCCGUAGCUGAUCUGAGAGGANGAUCAGCCACACUGGGACUGAGACACGGCCCAGACUCCUACGGGAGGCAGCAGUGGGGAAUCUUGGACAAUGGGCGCAAGCCUGAUCCAGCCAUGCCGCGUGAGUGAAGAAGGCCUUAGGGUUGUAAAGACUCUUUUACCUAGGGACGAUAAUGACGGUACCUGGAGAAUAAGCCCCGG
rnacentral:rRNA from 1 species